AGACAACAUAUUUUGUGUGCUACUUUAAUAAUUUAUUUUAUUGUAACUUGUGAUAAAUGCCAUUAAAACGUGAAGCGAAUUUUCAGGACGUUCACUUAUAGGCUGAUUAACCCGCGUGACGUCACUUUAAUUGCCGUCAGCCGGUGUGUAUUUAAACCGUCAGAAACUCAAGCUCAAUUUCUUUUGCUGUUUUUCCAGCAGUCUGAUUAUUAUUUUUGGUGAAGAGAAAACAAGGGAUGCUACAGAACAAAUAACAUCGAUUAUUGUGGUUUAAUAUACAUUUAUAAUCCGUUGGUCUUUAUCAAAAUGAGCAAAACCGAGAAACCUCUGUCAACUCUUUGGGGUUGCGAACUCAAUGAAUCUAAUAAAGAAGAAUCCUUCAAGACGGACGAUACAAACCAUCAACAUCAGCUGGCAUUAAGAACCAUGUGUUUGGGUCACACCGCUAAAGAUGAGUUUAAUAUCGUCGAGCUGGUCACUGGUGAAGAAAACCGCGGCGCGAAAGCGGUUCCUAUAGCAACACUACACGCAAAAUCCAUGCCAACGGUGAACCUGUCUGGUUUGGAUCUUCAUCCACCCGUGACCUUUCACCUGAAGCACGGCUCUGGGCCCGUGUAUGUCGGAGCGGAACACGUAGCCCUGGAAGAUUUCUCUGAUGAUGAAGAGAUGGAUGACGAUUUUGAUGAGGAUGUGGAGGAUGUGGAGGAGGAGGAGGAAGAUAUUGAAGAAUCCCCAGUGAAGAAAGUCACAAAGAAUGGCGCUGGCAAACGGAAGAAGCCAGAAAAGGCAGAGGAUGAGGAAACCUCAGACGGUGAAAAUCCACCUAAAAAGGGUAGAGGAAGGGGACGGAAGGCACAAGCUGGUAAGGUGUGACCAGGCAAGGACCUGUAAAACAUCAUCUCCAUGUGAUCCCGAAGAGACUCUAGUGUGGCUUGAAUACGCCAUGUUCGCAGAAAGAUGCUCUUGGACAUUUGAAAUGGGAACUUUAAUUUUUCAGAGGUCUCGAUGUAGCUAUGCUUCACAUGAAUAAAGUUAUUUCGAGAAAAGCAAACCGUUUUGUCUGUUUCUGAUCAUUCUUAAUGCAAGUGUAUGACUUGACAGACCUGUAUGCAGCCAAUACUUCAGAACAUAGAUUUCUGUAAGGCCAUUCAACCAAGCUCCAUGUAAUUGUCAUUCAGUAACUUCUGAAGAAGUCUGUUUGCAAUUGCAAUCGUGCAAUACAGCUAAAGUGCUUCCAGUACAAAUCUAAAUCUCUA